rnacentral:rRNA from 1 species
AUACGGAGGGUGCAAGCGUUAUUCGGAAUCACUGGGCGUAAAGGACGCGUAGGCGGGUUGGCAAGUCAGAUGUGAAAUCCUACAGCUUAACUGUAGAACUGCAUUUGAAACUGCUAACCUAGAGUAUGGGAGGGGGAGAUGGAAUCAGUGGUGUAGGGGUAAAAUCCGUAGAUAUCACUAGGAAUACCGAAAGCGAAGGCGAUCUCCUGGAACAUAACUGACGCUAAGGCGUGAAAGCGUGGGGAGCAAACAGGAUUAGAUACCCUAGUAGUCC